UGAUGAGCAGUGCCAUGUCCGCGCCCAGGAUUCGAACCAAUGAAACACUGGGCGGCCUGCAGGAGAGUGCGCGAACUUAACUACUCGGCCACGGGGCCAGCUCCGAUCACUGAUAUUCUGGGUGUUCCAUUGCAAAGAGAGGUUAAGACCCACAAGUCAGGCACCAGAUCUUCCCCUCUACGCAACCUGUCCAUGGUUAUCUACUUGAAUAUUCCAUGCUGCCAAAUUCUGCUGCAUUGAUAAGCAGCCCUGAUGGCCUUGGAGUGCCCUCACCUGUUGGACUGCUCCAGGUAACAUUCAGCUUUGCCUGAUUCUCUUCUGAGACCCUUGUAGCCUCUAGAAUUGUCCCCUUUUUUUGUUGUUUUGCUGAGGAAGGUUUGCCCUGAGCUAGCAUCCGUUGUCAAUCUUCCUCUUUUCGAAUGUGAGCUGCCACCACAGCAUGGGCACUGACAGGUGAGUGGUGUAGGUCCUUAUCCGGGUACUGAACCUGGGCCACCAAAGCAGAGGGCCCCAAACUUAACUACUAGGCCAUUGGGGCAGGCCUGUCUUUGUCCUUCUUUGAAUGCAGGACAUAUUUGAUUUCAUGGGGCUGCCAGCCUCCUCUAGGAGCCAGAAGAUGCCCAGGGAAGCCUGGUGGAGAACAAACUCUGUCCUCCCCAUUUCAUUUCCCCUAAGAUGCAGAGCAGAGGGGACUUGGGCAAGGUGGGUUCCCCACCCUACAUGCCAGGCAGAUCUGGAUUCCAGGGGCUUUUGUUUGAAAGAAUCCAUGAGAAACAUCAGAGCCUUGCCUACUCUAAGAAGGACAACAAAUUCAGAAGAGCAGAGUAAUGGUGCAAGGUCCACAGGAGUUGAUCAACAGCAUCUUUCACGCUUUCCCCAGGGCCAGCCUGAAAAGUGACUACUUCAAGACCAUGAAAUCUGGGAGCAGGGCUAAAGGCCACUUCUCCACUCUCCAGGGCAGUCAUCUGGGAGUUCUCUCUACACGCCAUGCUGCGCCUGAGCUCUGGUCCUUCUGCCUGGAAUUCUCCUUCCCUGAGCCUUCACAUGCUUCUCUUUAGCAUUCUUGGCAUUCAGCUGUCUGCUAACAUGUCACCUCAUCAGUGUGUUCUUACCCAAUGCCUCCCCUCUCCUGAUAGCCUCUCUUCCAUACAGGCCUCUGUUUUAUGUUUUUUUUCUUUUUUUUUGAGGAAGAUCAGCCCUGAGCCAACAUCCACCGCCAAUCCUCCUUCUUUUUGCUGAGGAAGACUGGCCCUGAGCUAAGAUCUGUGCCCAUCCUCCUCUACUUUAUAUGUGGGACACCUACCACAGUAUGGCUUGCCAAGUCGUGCCAGGUCUGCACCAGGGAUCUGAACCAGCAAACUCCGGGCCACCGAAGCGGAACGUGCACACUUAACUGCUGAGCCACCAGGCCGGCCCCUGUUUUAUGUUCUUUUCAGCACUCAUUAAAAUUUGAAAUUAUUUUGUACUAUUUGUCUCCCUUGAUUAGAGGUGAGCUACUUUAG
rnacentral:lncRNA from 1 species